UUCCCACUGGACAAGGCGCCCACCCACAUC
rnacentral:piRNA from 1 species